rnacentral:sRNA from 24 species
UGCGUGGCUAGACAGGCCAGUCGAAAAGCGGCAUCGUCACCGCCUGCCAUGCAUUUAUCGAUGAC